rnacentral:rRNA from 1 species
UACGUAGGGCGCAAGCGUUGUCCGGAAUUACUGGGCGUAAAGCGUGCGCAGGCGGUUUUGUAUGUCUGUCGUGAAAUCCCCGGGCUCAACCUGGGAAUUGCGAUGGAGACUGCAAGGCUAGAAUCUGGCAGAGGGGGGGUGGAAUUCCGCGUGUAGCAGUGAAAUGCGUAGAGAUGCGGAGGAACACCGAUGGCGAAGGCAGCCCCCCUGGGCCAAUACUGACGCUCAGGCACGAAAGCGUGGGGAGCAAACAGG